AACGAACGCUGGCGGCAGGCUUAACACAUGCAAGUCGAGCGCUCUCUUCGGAGGGAGCGGCGGACGGGUGAGUAACGCGUGGGAACGUGCCUUCUGCUACGGAAUAGCCAUUGGAAACGAUGAUUAAUACCGUAUGUGCCCUUCGGGGGAAAGAUUUAUCGGCAGGAGAUCGGCCCGCGUUAGAUUAGGUAGUUGGUGGGGUAAUGGCCUACCAAGCCGACGAUCUAUAGCUGGUUUGAGAGGAUGAUCAGCCACACUGGGACUGAGACACGGCCCAGACUCCUACGGGAGGCAGCAGUGGGGAAUCUUGGACAAUGGGGGCAACCCUGAUCCAGCCAUGCCGCGUGAGUGACGAAGGCCCUAGGGUCGUAAAGCUCUUUCGCCAGGGAGAUAAUGACGUACCU
rnacentral:rRNA from 1 species